CCUACGGGUGGCAGCAGUGGGGAAUAUUGGACAAUGGGGGGAACCCUGAUCCAGCCAUGCCGCGUGUGUGAAGAAGGCCCUCGGGUUGUAAAGCACUUUCAGUGAGGAAGAACGCCUGGUGGUUAAUACCCAUCAGGAAAGACAUCACUCACAGAAGAAGCACCGGCUAACUCCGUGCCAGCAGCCGCGGUAAUACGGAGGGUGCGAGCGUUAAUCGGAAUUACUGGGCGUAAAGCGCGCGUAGGUGGCUUGAUAAGCCGGUUGUGAAAGCCCCGGGCUCAACCUGGGAACGGCAUCCGGAGCUGUCAAGCUAGAGUGCAGGAGAGGAAGGUAGAAUUCCCGGUGUAGCGGUGAAAUGCGUAGAGAUCGGGAGGAAUACCAGUGGCGAAGGCGGCCUUCUGGACUGACACUGACACUGAGGUGCGAAAGCGUGGGUAGCAAACGGGAUUAGAUACCCCGGUAGUC
rnacentral:rRNA from 1 species